rnacentral:lncRNA from 1 species
NAGGCCAGGAAAGCUGCCGGGGAGGUGGAAGACGAGGGUACCGAAGAGCUGGGGGCCGACGCGGAGACCCAACCCAGCAGCACUAGCGCCAGCCUUGCCAACCGCAGCCGUCCGUCCCCGGCGGAGGGGCCCCGGGAGCCCGCCCCAGGCAUCGCGGCUCGCGGUUCCCCGGAGCUGGGACAGCGCCCGCUCCGAAGACUCGACCGCCUGGGCCCGGCGGGCGCNAGCCGGCCGCAAGCGUCGACGGCAAACUUUCCUCGCGUGGGAGCAGAGGAGGGGACGCCAAAAGCUGGAACUUGGCUAACCCCGAGCCACCGGGCGUCCCCCUCCCGGAGCGGCACCCCGCCCUUCCCUCCAGUGAGUACGCACGGCGGGUCGGGACACGGGCCUUGGCGCUCCUCCUCCCNCCGCAGCUGGGGUGGGUGGCACCUCCUCAACUCCUUUGUUGGCGCCUCUCUCAGGGCAGGAUCGGAUGAGCGACCUGGGACAAGCGGGAGAGAAGCGUGAGGAGCAGUGAUGGCCGCAGCUCCCCGAGUACGAACCAAGUUGUCCCCACACUAGCAACCCGGCCCAAGCUUCUGUGUGCGUCCUUCCUCCCUAGUGGGACGCGGUCCCCACUCCCUAGUGGGACGCGGUCCCCACUCCCAGGCGCUAAGCCUGCCUCUUCCGGGCCCACACCAUCAGGACCCGGGCCACCUCCCGCCUGGCUCCUGCCCNGAUUGCCCUCCUCCCGCCUAGAACUUCACGCAGACCCCGCGGUGUCCAGCGAGCAAACUUCUCCCUUUUCCGGGUCCCAGCUCCUACCGCCCCCGCCGACCACCUGCCUUCCGGGGUCCCCGCCCCCGCUGCUCCUCCCCCUCCCAGGUUGGGAUGUGAGCGAAGUUUCGGGUUACGGGACUCUUUCGAGCUUUUUUUUUUUUUUGGUACCUCCUUGGAUUAGUGUGGAAAGGGGAGCAGAGCCGUACAGCUGUCGCCUACUCUCGACUCCCCAGUUCCUGGCCACCCAGCUCCCCGAUCCCGAGAGGAUCCAGACAUCUCCAGAAAAACGGAGGGAACCCGCCAACAAAGCGGCCGUGGGACCAUGGGCGAUGUGGCAGCCAGGACCCCCCCGCCCCCCCACGGCUCUCUUCACGCCCUAGUAUAGAAAGGAACCCUGGUCCCGCCUCCAGGCUCCAAACCUGGCCGCUCGGUCCCCACUGCUCACCUCCGCACCCCGCGCCUGCAAAGACAACUCCGAGGGCCACCCGAGUCCACGCGCCUUNCCAGCUCCUGCUGCGGGCGCCGACUCUCCUCUCACCCCAGCCCCUGGCCCAACCUCCACGGCUGGGAAAAACCAAGCCGGGGGGCGGGGGAGGGCCAGGGCUGCAGGAGAGAUCGCCGCCGCGCUGGCCACUUCUGCUGCCCCAGGUGGAAGCAGAAGGAACAAAAGUUCCAGCUCACCUUCGGCUACGAGAUGACUUUGAGAUGACCUGGCGAAAGACCCUGUCUUGAAACAAUCCCAGAAAGAAGAGCAGGCUGAGCCAUUGUCAAGACAGCUCAUCAGACAGAUCACUGGAAGAAAAAAACCUAACAACGACGCCCCAAGAAAAGGAAACCACGGAGCGGGACCACAUAUGAUUGUAGAUGUAACAUCCUCCCGUUAAAUUAAACCUAGUCAAACUCAGAGACAAGCAAAAGUGACUGUAAUCCAUGACUAUGCAGGAUUCACAUCUAGGAAUACAAGGAUACUUAAAUGAAAAGAAAUUGACUGAUGCAAUACAAAUUACCAAUGUAAACAAAAGAAAACAAACAGAAACAAAAUAUGGCCAUGCCAUCAGAUGUGGUAGAGUAUUUAGCAAUAUUCACCAUCCACUCUGAUAAAAGAAAACAUCCUACCUAAUAUAAACGAAAGAAGUCCCCAUUCUGGUUAAGAGUACCAGAAACCAAGCUAAUACCACAAAGAGCACACCUACAAUGACAUGUAAUGGCAGAAGAUAUGAUUUCCUAUUAAGACAUUAUAUUGAUGAUGCACAGGGGAAAAUAUGCUGCAGCNUUAAACAUUCAUAAAAUGAAAAGUUAUAUUUUUAAUUUCUUGUGAUUUUUUUUUACAUAAUAAAAAGUCAUAUUGUCAGAGAAUAGAGUUGGUCUGUCUACUCCUUCCUAGUCUGACUGCCUUANNUUCUUGCCUGAUUGUCUUAUGUGGCGUGCCCAAUACAAUCUUGAAAAAGAGCUAGGUAAGAGCAGAUAUCCUUGUUUUGGUAUUUACUAUCAUGUGAAACCAUUCUGUCUUUAAGCAUUAAAUGUUAUCUUAGCUGUGGAGUUUUACUUCUUGCUGCUAUUACUGUUUUUGUAUAUAUCAAUUUAAUAGAAUUUCAUUGACACACU